UGCGGUGGCUAAAGCGGUGAGGAACCACCUCUACCCAUUCCGAACAGAGAAGUUAAGCUCACCAACGCCGAUGGUACUGCCCCACCAGGUGGGAGAGUAGGAAGCUGCCGUUU
rnacentral:rRNA from 1 species